rnacentral:rRNA from 1 species
CUCCUUCGGGAGGGGAUUAGUGGCGAACGGGUGAGUAACACGUGGGCAAUCUGCCCUUCACUCUGGGACAAGCCCUGGAAACGGGGUCUAAUACCGGAUAACACUGCGGAUCGCAUGGUCUGCGGUUGAAAGCUCCGGCGGUGAAGGAUGAGCCCGCGGCCUAUCAGCUUGUUGGUGGGGUGAUGGCCUACCAAGGCGACGACGGGUAGCCGGCCUGAGAGGGCGACCGGCCACACUGGGACUGAGACACGGCCCAGACUCCUACGGGAGGCAGCAGUGGGGAAUAUUGCACAAUGGGCGAAAGCCUGAUGCAGCGACGCCGCGUGAGGGAUGACGGCCUUCGGGUUGUAAACCUCUUUCAGCAGGGAAGAAGCGAAAGUGACGGUACCUGCAGAAGAAGCGCCGGCUAACUACGUGCCAGCAGCCGCGGUAAUACGUAGGGCGCAAGCGUUGUCCGGAAUUAUUGGGCGUAAAGAGCUCGUAGGCGGCUUGUCGCGUCGGAUGUGAAAGCCCGGGGCUUAACCCCGGGUCUGCAUUCGAUACGGGCAGGCUAGAGUGUGGUAGGGGAGAUCGGAAUUCCUGGUGUAGCGGUGAAAUGCGCAGAUAUCAGGAGGAACACCGGUGGCGAAGGCGGAUCUCUGGGCCAUUACUGACGCUGAGGAG